GCUUCUCGCUGGAGUGCGCACCGAGCGGCAGUGACUUCGCCGCUGCUGUAGUUCCCCGGCUGGAUGCGGUGACUGGUGCCAGUGCUCAGGCGCCCGCUGCCCUUGACCUCCCGCCCCGCGAGCCCUAACUCAGCGCAGGAGGACCGGCUGCCGCCGCCGCCGCCGCCAGAGCCUUGGCUGCCCAGUUGCCAGUCCUACCACGGUCGGAGGUAACCUUCCUGGCUCCAGUCACAUGGCCAGAUAAGGUGGUGUGUGUGGGCAUGAAUUAUGUGGACCACUGCAAAGAACAGAACGUGCCCGUGCCCAAGGAGCCCAUCAUCUUCAGCAAGUUUGCCAGCUCCAUCGUGGGGCCCUAUGAUGAGGUGGUCCUCCCACCACAGAGCCAGGAGGUAGAUUGGGAAGUGGAGCUGGCCGUGGUCAUUGGAAAGAAAGGCAAGCACAUCAAGGUGAAGUGGAAAAGGUGGGCUCCCAGGCCAGAGUGCAGCAGAGUCCCCAGCUCCUGCCUCUCCUAGUUCUGACCUCGCUCACCAACACAUGGUGCCAGCUGUCCCUGACACUAGGAAGCAGUCAGCCUCCUUGCUCCCUGACACUGCCUUUCCCUUCACCCACCUUUGGCUGGCUCUGGCUACUAACAUGGGAUAACAGCUUUGAGAUCCCUUGCCACAGGUGUUGGUGUCACCCAUGAUCUAUCCUCCUGUAUGGCCAAAUCCCCUGCCCCCAUAGGCCACAGAUGCCAUGGCCCACGUGGCCGGCUUCACUGUGGCUCAUGACGUGAGUGCUCGUGACUGGCUAACAAGAUGCAAUGGGAAACAGUGGCUGCUGGGAAAAACCUUCGACACCUUCUGCCCUCUGGGCCCUGCCUUGGUGACCAAGGACAGUGUAGCAGAUCCACACAACUUAAAGAUCUGCUGUCGAGUGAAUGGGGAAGUGGUCCAGAGCAGCAACACCAACCAGAUGGUAUUCAAGACAGAGGACCUGAUAGCCUGGGUGUCCCAGUGAGUGACAGGGGCUAUCCUGCCAGCCCCGCUCCACCUGCCACACAUGUGGAGGCUGACCUGAGCCCUCCACCUUUGGCUGUGGCCACCUCAGCCAGCCCCUGGUCUCACCGGGUCCUUUUGCUUUGCUCCAGGUUUGUUACCUUUUACCCAGGGGAUGUCAUCCUGACUGGGACCCCCCCACCUCCACCCAGGUGUCGGUGUAUUCAGGAAACCUCCUGUCUUUCUCAAGGUCUCUGAAGGUCCAGACAGCACUGAUGGCGAGCUUUGGGUCCGCACACUCUGGAAAGAAGAGAGAAGUGAAGGCUCUAGGUAGGGAGAACAGAGAGCCACUGGGCACAGGCUUCUCUCCUCUUGUUUAAAGAAGCCCAGGGAGGGAUAGAGCUCUGACUGGACAGAAGACUGUACUCUGCAGCCUGCCUUCCUAGAGUUGGGUUGUCACUGUCCUGCAGGGGGCAGCAGCCACCAGCAAACACCACUGCCUGCAGGAGCCUGGGCUGACUGGUUGGGACUCACCGAAGAUCCCUUCUUCCUGGGCGGUGGCCUGCAGGAACUGGAACAGCUGCUCUGUGUAGCCCAACUCUGCAGAAGAGAGAAGACCUAGACCUGGCACCCAGCACAGACACAGCCUGCCUCGAGGACUGCAAGGGAACAAGGGCCUCACCAGUAUCGGGCAGCUGGCCCUGGCGGAGGAAGGCGGCAGCCUGUGCAAAGGCCUUGAGCAGCGGGCUGAGCAGGCGGCAGAGGAAAAGAAAGAAAUCUGGGCAGUGUGACUGCUGGCUGAGCUGGAGGGGACAGGCCGGGGUGAGUGCAGCUCCCCACCGCCUCCCUACCACCUCCCUCCAGGGGCAGCUUUUUGAAACACACCCUGAAGUACCGGCCGUCAGCCUCUCCGAAGUCAUCACUGUCACUAUCAGUAAAGUCCCCACUCGGUUUCCACA
ensembl:lncRNA novel transcript